rnacentral:tRNA from 1 species
UCCUCAUUGGUCUAGUGGUCAUGAUUUCCGCUUGUCAUUGGUUCAAUGUCAAGCGCGGGAGACCAGGGUUCGAUUCCCUGAUGGGGAG